GCUCCACCCAUUUGUUUUGGCACUUUUCUUCAAUAAGAAUCCUGCUGUUAUCUCUCCCUCAGGCCCUGCAGUCUUCAAAGCUGAGCCUUCGGAUGCAUCCUUGUCCAGCUGACUUGGUUUCUCUUUCAUAGAUUUCAAGUUUCCUCCAACUUGCUGGCUUCCAGUUUGAGGACUGGUUGCCCUAUUCAACAUUGAUUGCUCUGCUUCAUGUGCCUUCUUAGAACCCCGAUUUUUUAGCUCAUCCUCACGUCUCUGUCUGUCCAUUCUCCUCUGCACCAAGCGGAUAAAGUGUUGAGGGGGGACAAAAGCUCGCUCCAUGUCAACAAGGGCAACUACCAUUUUCUUGGCAUCAGUUUUAAAUCCAUCCAAUGCAUCGGAAGCAAUUGCUACAACCUCUCUCUUGAAUGGAGGAUAUCGUCCAAGUCCAGGUGUGGCAUUUGCAGCAGAGGAGACAAUAUCAACAAGUACACGAUGCACCUCAUCAACACAAAGACGUGAAGGUUCUUUCGCCUGCUCCAAAACACCUUUUAUCAAAGACCUCAACCCCUUCUCAGGAGAAAUUAGGUAGGGUUGAUAACCAUCGGCUUCUAACACAAUCCGCUUGACAUUAUUUAUGUCAAAAUGUUUAUCUAAGGGGAGCUGCUUUAUCCUAUUCGGGAAGUUCCCCUCAAAACUUGCAACCACCUUCCAUCCAUCACCCUCGCCGCCAGUGAUAUGCAACAGAAACUUAUCCUCAAAUUCACGGCAAAGCUCAAGUGCUAGGGCUUUGGUACCUUCAGCACUAUGAACCAUUUGCUCCCCAAGCCUGACCAACUCAUCUUGUACAACUUGAGACUUCCCCUGAAGCCCGGAAAGCAAAUUCGGAAGUCUGACUUUCAUUCUACUGCGUAUCUGGUGAGCAAGGGUCUCGAUUAAAGCUAACCUACCAAGCUUACUUUGAGGAGCUCCAGUCAAUAUUGAUUUUAAGCUUUCACUCUCAGCUCGCCAUGCAGUCUCCAACGAGUUAUCAGAUCCAACAUUUCCAGACUGGGCAGAAGCUAUAGAAACAGAUUGACCAAUCAAGGCAACCCACGGGAUAUCAGUUGUGCCUCGUGGUCCUUGGUUUGACAAAAGGGCUUGAACAGCUGCAAGCACUUUCGGCUCUGAAGCUGCUUGAUCUAUCUUGCUAAUCACACCGACGGUUCUAGUACAUUCACUAUCAUACUCCUUCGCAAUUCUGAUAGCUUUACAUGAAGCAACUUCAGGAGCCUGAGCAGCAGAAAUUACGACCAGCAAUAUGGCGUCAUUGUGCUCAACAUAUUGAGUCAUUGAAUCAUCAAGAUUUGACUUGUCAACGCCAGGCAAAUCAACCAGCUUCAAUGGUGGAGCCGUGCUUGUUCUUAGCUUCAAAUAUAUUUCAUCACGACUCUUGCUUGAAAUUUUACUUAGUCUAUCCUGUAAAGAAUGUCGAAGAGCACUUGCAGACACUGGCUGUGAUUUACUGUCAAUCUGCAAAAUGAUCGAUUUACUGCUCAACGAACUAUCUCGUUUUAGAUCAAUGCAUAUGGGGGCACGAGUGGCACCGCCUUCACCUGUUGGCAAAGCAGGAUGGCCAAUUAGACUGUUCAGUACAGCUGAUUUACCAGCACCAGUGCCACCGAUAGCAACAACAUUAAGAAAAGUGGACGGCCGUUUCGAAGACGAGGAAGAGUUUUCAUCAACAUCUUCAUCGGCAAGCAAAGAGGCAGCUUGCUUCAUCGAAUCUGACAGCUGCUCCAAUUCCUCGAUUGCUUCCAUAUAUUACUGUCUUCUUUGUUGACAAUCUAAAUCUUCAGUUCAAAUCGAACAGCUCAAACUAAAUCGACGGUUGACAAAGUGACUCGACCGAUCAGAUUGAACAACAGAAAACACGGAACGGGAUCUUCACAGAUCGAAGUUGAAAAGAGAAAAGCCCUAGAUUCGAGGAAAGAACGAGCGAAGAUCUGAGUCAAAGGGAAGUAAAACCAGUGAGAAUAUGUGUUGAAAUGGUAGGGUUUUUCCUCCGAUUGACGCGUAACGAACGGGAAAUGAUGCCGGGAUGAGAGAGAUUUGAAAAGUUUUU
rnacentral:misc_RNA from 1 species